GCUUAUGGCCUCGCCACCAUGAGUACGCCUGAUCUCAGAAGCUAAGCGGUAUGGGGCCUCGUUAGUACUUGGAUGGGAAGCCAUCUGGAAAUACCAAAUACUGCAAGCU
ensembl:rRNA 5S_rRNA 5S ribosomal RNA